AGGAUAAACGCUGGCGGCGUGCAUGAGACAUGCAAGUCGAACGGACGAUCAGGGCUUGCUCUGAUCGUUAGUGGCGGACGGCUGAGUAACGCGUAGGUGACCUGCCCCGAAGUGGGGAAUAACUGCCCGAAAGGGUGGCUAAUACCGCAUGUGGUGGUGUGUUCAUUCACACCAGUAAAGCCGCAAGGCGCUUCGGGAGGGGCCUGCGUCCGAUUAGCUCGUUGGUGGGUAACGGCUCACCAAGGCGACGAUCGGUAGGUGGUCUGAGAGGACGAUCACCCAGACUGGGACUGAGACACGGCCCAGACUCCUACGGGAGGCAGCAGUCGGGAAUUUUGCGCAAUGGACGAAAGUCUGACGCAGCAACGCCGCGUGAGGGAUGAAGGCCUUCGGGUUGUAAACCUCUUUUAUCAGGGAAGAUAAUGACGGUACCUGAUGAAUAAGUCACGGCUAACUACGUGCCAGCAGCCGC
rnacentral:rRNA from 1 species